rnacentral:rRNA from 1 species
AACGAACGCUGGCGGCAUGCCUAACACAUGUAAGUCGAACGAGACCUUCGGGUCUAGUGGCGCACGGGUGCGUAACGAGUGGGAACCUGCCCUUAGGUUCGGAAUAACUCCCCGAAAGGGGUGCUAAUACCGGAUAAUGUCUUCGGACCAAAGAUUUAUCGCCUUUGGAUGGGCCCGCGUUGGAUUAGCUAGUUGGUAGGGUAAAAGCCUACCAAGGCGACGAUCCAUAGCUGGUCUGAGAGGAUGAUCAGCCACACUGGGACUGAGACACGGCCCAGACUCCUACGGGAGGCAGCAGUGGGGAAUAUUGGACAAUGGGCGAAAGCCUGAUCCAGCAAUGCCGCGUGAGUGAUGAAGGCCUUAGGGUUGUAAAGCUCUUUUACCCGGGAUGAUAAUGACAGUACCGGGAGAAUAAGCUCCGGCUAACUCCGUG